rnacentral:rRNA from 1 species
GGAGUAUGUGGCUUAAUUUGACUCAACGCGGAAAAGCUUAUCUGGUCCGGACGCAGUGAGGAUUGACAGACAGUUAGACAGAAGUGGUUUAGGUAACAAUUGAGAGAGUUGAAGUUCUUUCAUGAUCUUGUGAGAGGUGGUGCAUGGCCGUUCUUAGUUCGUGUAGUGAUAUGUCUGCCUAAUCGCGUCACGAUAACCUAUUGGUCGACAACCCAAUUAUCACAACUGCAGCAUAACUCCCCUUGGGUGGGCGAGGCUCUGUGUAGGAUAGACCUCUGAACAGUACGCAACGAACGCGAUCGUAAUCCCUUGUUGAGUGGCCAUCCUGUAAGCUGCUGGAUUAGGAACCCAGUGGUAUUAUCUCAGCCACAGAUUUUCUGGUUGUAGUGGGCCAGUUUUGAAACUCGGGGAACAUCUGUGACUUUCUUUCUUAACGCAGAGGAAGGUUAUGGCAAUAACAG